rnacentral:rRNA from 1 species
UGGGGAAUUGUUCACAAUGGGCGCAAGCCUGAUGACGCAACGCCGCGUGGGGGAUGAAGGUCUUCGGAUCGUAAACUCCUGUCGAAUGGGACGAAAGACUCGCGAGUGAAUACUUCGCGAGAGUGACGGUACCGUUAAAGGAAGCCACGGCUAACUCUGUGCCAGCAGCCGCGGUAAUACAGAGGUGGCAAGCGUUGUUCGGAAUUACUGGGCGUAAAGGGCGCGUAGGCGGCCCUCUAAGUCAGACGUGAAAUCCCCCGGCUUAACCUGGGAACUGCGUCUGAUACUGGAGGGCUUGAGUAUGGGAGAGGGAUGUAGAAUUCCAGGUGUAGCGGUGAAAUGCGUAGAUAUCUGGAGGAAUACCGGUGGCGAAGGCGGCAUCCUGGACCAUUACUGACGCUGAGGCGCGAAAGCUAGGGGAGCAAACGGGAUUAGAUACCCAAGUAGUCCCUGAGCGGGCUGGCAAGGCGC